GUAGGUGGCAAGCGUUGUCCGGAAUUAUUGGGCGUAAAGCGCGCGCAGGCGGUUCUUUAAGUCUGAUGUGAAAGCCCACGGGCUCAACCGUGGAGGGUCAUUGGAAACUGGAGAACUUGAGUACAGAAGAGGAAAGCGGAAUUCCACGUGUAGCGGUGAAAUGCGUAGAGAUGUGGAGGAACACCAGUGGCGAAGGCGGCUUUCUGGUCUGUAACUGACGCUGAGGCGCGAAAGCGUGGGGAGCAAACAGGAUUAGAUACCCUGGUAGUCCACGCCGUAAACGAUGAGUGCUAAGUGUUAGGGGGUUUCCGCCCCUUAGUGCUGCAGCUAACGCAUUAAGCACUCCGCCAGGGGAGUACGGCCGCAAGGCUG
rnacentral:rRNA from 1 species